AUUGAACGCUGGCGGCAUGCUUUACACAUGCAAGUCGAACGGCAGCACGGGCUUCGGCCUGGUGGCGAGUGGCGAACGGGUGAGUAAUAUAUCGGGAACGUACCCAAGAGUGGGGGAUAACGUAGCGAAAGUUACGCUAAUACCGCAUACGAUCUAUGGAUGAAAGCAGGGGAUCGCAAGACCUUGUGCUCCUGGAGCGG
rnacentral:rRNA from 1 species